UACGAAGGGGGCUAGCGUUGCUCGGAAUGACUGGGCGUAAAGGGCGCGUAGGCGGAUGGCACAGUCAGAUGUGAAAUUCCCGGGCUUAACCUGGGGGCUGCAUUUGAUACGUGUUGUCUUGAGUUCGGAAGAGGGUCGUGGAAUUCCCAGUGUAGAGGUGAAAUUCGUAGAUAUUGGGAAGAACACCGGUGGCGAAGGCGGCGACCUGGUCCGACACUGACGCUGAGGCGCGAAAGCGUGGGGAGCGAACAGG
rnacentral:rRNA from 1 species